CCUACGGGUGGCAGCAGUGAGGAAUAUUGGUCAAUGGACGCAAGUCUGAACCAGCCAUGCCGCGUGCAGGAAGACGGCGCUAUGAGUUGUAAACUGCUUUUGUACGAGGGUAAACGCAGAUACGCGUAUCUGUCUGAAAGUAUCGUACGAAUAAGGAUCGGCUAGCUCCGUGCCAGCAGCCGCGGUAAUACGGAGGAUUCAAGCGUUAUCCGGGUUUAUUGGGUUUAAAGGGUGCGUAGGCGGUCGGUUAAGUUAGAGGUGAAAUCCCGAGGCUCAACUUCGGAAUGGCCUCUGAUACUGUUCGGCUAGAGCGUACUUGCGGUAGGCGGAAUGUGUGGUGUAGCGGUGAAAUGCUUAGAGAUCAUGCAGAACACCGAUUGCGAAGGCAGCUUACCAGGCUACAUCUGACGUUGAGGCACGAAAGCGUGGGGAGCAAACAGGAUUAGAUACCCUUGUAGUC
rnacentral:rRNA from 1 species